CCUACGGGAGGCUGCAGUGAGGAAUAUUGGUCAAUGGACGAGAGUCUGAACCAGCCAAGUAGCGUGAAGGAUGACUGCCCUAUGGGUUGUAAACUUCUUUUAUAUGGGAAUAAAAUGUUCCACGUGUGGGAUUUUGUAUGUACCAUAUGAAUAAGGAUCGGCUAACUCCGUGCCAGCAGCCGCGGUAAUACGGAGGAUCCGAGCGUUAUCCGGAUUUAUUGGGUUUAAAGGGAGCGUAGGUGGAUUGUUAAGUCAGUUGUGAAAGUUUGCGGCUCAACCGUAAAAUUGCAGUUGAAACUGGCAGUCUUGAGUACAGUAGAGGUGGGCGGAAUUCGUGGUGUAGCGGUGAAAUGCUUAGAUAUCACGAAGAACUCCGAUUGCGAAGGCAGUUCACUGGACUGUAACUGACACUGAGGCUCGAAAGUGUGGGUAUCAAACAGGAUUAGAUACCCUUGUAGUC
rnacentral:rRNA from 1 species